ensembl:processed_transcript
UGUGCCACUACACCUGGCUUAAAGACUUCCUUUAAAGCUAUUUUCAACCACAUCAAAAACAUUACCUUUUCCUCCUUCACUGAUGCUUUAAAUCUUAUAAACAUAAUGAAUAUUUUAGGUUCUAUGAAGCUAUAAUCUUUUAUGUCCUAAAAAGUCAUGGUAUUCAUAACUAAGUGGGCUCUAGACGUAUAACUUUAUGCUAGAUUGAGAGAUUGAUGUGUCUAUAAUCUCUUGUUAAUUACCUUUUUUUAAAAUUGGUAAACAUAUAAAGGGAAAUAUGUGGAAAUUCUUUGAAAAGUAUUAGCAUAUUUCUUUUUUAACUGUCAAUACUUGUCUGUUUUAUCAAGACACUGGGUUGUAUUUUGGCUUGUUUGGAAGUUUGUUUCAUCAUUAUGAUCCACUUGGAGACUAAGCCAUGUAAAUUAGGCGUUUGACAGUCUGCAUAAGAGGGAUGCCAUUGGGUGAAUCAUUAGCUCUUAUUAUGAAAUUACAGUCCUAUCAUCUGAAGGGUUAGAUACCUUGUGGUGUCUAGAUGGCUAUCAGCAGACCUUGGAAGGGGAGGAGGAAGGGCCUUGGCUUUUUUUUUUUUUUUUUUUUUUUNNNNNNNNNNNNNNNNNNNNNNNNCUGUCCUGGAACUCACUUUGUAGACCAGGCUGGCCUUGAACUCAGAAAUCUGCCUGCCUCUGCCUCCCAAGUGCUGGGAUUAAAGGUGUGCGCCACCACCGCCCGGCUGGGGCCUUGGCUUUUAUGACUCUUUCUUUAGAGCCAGAAAUUUUCUUUGCUAAAAUCCGUCAGAAACUGUCUUGUUGAACCUCAGUGGCCAGAGUUGUCAUGGCUAUGACCAUUACUUAGGAGGACAUCAUUGACCCUGUAGGGAUGGAGGGCUGUGGUCAGGGUCAUUGUGAUUGGCCUGCUAAGUAAUUUGCAAGGAGUAGAUACUAGGAGACUAGCCGAAGUAUUCUUUGUAAAGGGUCGUUGAGAGCACCACUUUGUUCUUUUGUUGGCUUAUUUCAUCAAAUAGAAAAUGUGCCCUGGGUCAACAUUUUUACUCUUCAUGUCAAAAUAUUUGAUAUUCUCAUUCAUUUUUUUCAUCAUAUAUAUGUUCAAAUAUAAAAUUAAAAAAUAAACUUUAUUUCUCUUUACGUGAGUGUAUGUGUGCACAAAUUGGUGCCUAUAGAAGUCAGAAGAGGGUUGGGAGUCCCCUGGAGCUGGAGUUCCAGGUGCUUGGGAGCCACCUGGCCUGGAUGCUACUGGAACUGACCUUGAGUCCUGCAAGAGCAACAAAUGCUCUUAGUUGGGGACUCAUUUCUCUAGUUCCCAGAGAGAAGUCACUAACUAACUGUUUUGGUUCAUUUGGAUUUGAUUGGUUAGUUGGUGAACUAUAGCUUGACAUGCUGCCUCUUCAUCUAGUCUGUUGCAGUCUGCACUUGUUUCAAGGCAUUUUAUUCUUAUUUCUGAACACAACACAUUUUAGAAUACUGCAAAAUAAGUUAGUUUUGUUUUGAGUCUCUUCAGAUUUGAAGCUUGCUCUGAGAGAACUGAUGAUGGGUCUCUCUCUGUUCAGCCUCCGGUUAAUAGAGUUGUUUCUGGUAAUGUCUUCAUGUUGGCUUUGUCCUCUUUUUUUCAAAUGGAGACUUUCCUGGCAAGACAAUCUUCCAGUAGCUUGUAUUCCAGAGCACAGUGCCACGGUUUAUAUCUUAAUGCUGUUCUUGGUGGCUCUCCAAGCCUUUGCCACCCUUCUGCUCGCCCACUUUCCCACAGAGGCAGGCAGGGAAGUAGAGAGAGCAGAGACAGCCUUGCUGGAGUUCUAAUAACAAAACUUAUGCUCCUCUGCUGACAGCACUUUCUCCAAAGAGACAGGACAUUUCACAGAAAUGAAAACUAACUCUUCCUUAGUCAAAGAUGCCUUCUCUAAGGCUUUCCUUUUUGGCUUCAGGAUUCUGCUCUCUCUGUGUUGUGCCCUUCCAUCCCCGUUGCUAACUGUAAGAAGUAGCAGCAGCGGCAGCAGCUAAUAUUUAUGGAGUGUUUACUUGAAGCCAAGCACAAGUCUGUAGAAAAAAAAAUGUACGAGGUUCUUUUUGUUUGUUUUUGUUUUUUUUUCGAGACGGGUUUCUCGGUAGCCCUGGCUGUCCUGGAACUCACUUUGUAGACCAGGCUGGCCUUGAACUCAGAAAUCCGCCUGCCUCUGCCUCCCGAGUGCUGGAAUUAAAGGUGUGUGCCACCACACCCGGUAGACGAGGUUCUUAAGUCUUACAGAAAUCUUAUGGUAUAGGAAGUGUUACUCUCUUGAAGAAAUUAAAAGCCUAGGGAAAUGAAGAAAUUUGUCUAUAGUACUGUCCCCAUGCUCUGAGUUUAAUCACUGUCCCAGUGCUCUGGCCUGUUUUUAUAACAUGAGGGCACAGAGUAUUAAUGAUAUGUGCUACAGGUCAUUUAAAACUCGAAUCCUAUGUGUUUUCUGAAAUUAAUAAAUUAAUUAUAAUUCCUCUUAAAGCAAUUACCACACUUUUCCUGGUACAAUUCUCUUUAUAGACUGAGAAGAUUGGAUUCCCCCUCUUCAUUUAUGACUUAUGUCUUCAAAUUAAAUGCUUUUGAUCUAACACUUCUAGUUAUUAGCAGUUUCAAACAUAUCCUUAGUAAACUUUGUUUCCUUUAUUUCUGUAUUAUUUGGAUUAUUUCUCUGAGGAUCAAGUCCCUUUGCUACAGGGUUUUUUUUUUUUUUUUAAUCUUAUUUUACUUUGAUGAGAUCAUCCAACUUGGUAUUGAAUUAUCUACUUCUUAAAUCUCCAACUCAUGUUAAUAGUUUGACAGCAUUCAUUUUCUUAUAUCAGAAUCUUAAGUUGAAUAAUUUUUAGUUUCCCCUGUACCAUGUAGAAAAAAGCAUUUAUUAGCCUGCAUUUCACUAUUUUUUCUCGAUAGUGUGAUGAUAUAGUUUGCUGCAUAUAGCAUUUUGGGACUCACUGUGUUCAUAAAGAGUUUAAUAGAGUCAUGUAUAGCUAUAGAGGUAGCUUGAUUAAGUGUCUGUUUACCUUCUAGUAAAUUUUCCAUGAGCCACAUUAUUUAUUUUCCUAAGAGAAAGCUCACCACAGACUCUGCCAUCCUGAGUGAAUACAGGAUGAAAAAGUGUAUCAAUUGGAUGUAGGCUAGUGCUGGCCAUCAGACCACAUGCUGAGACAGUUAAUUCAGAGACCUACUUGCAGAAGUUAUUUUUUUUUUUUUUUUUUUGCAGAAGUUAUUUUAAACAAUAACUGUGCUUGUAGAGCAAUUUUAAACACAAACUGGGUAUGGCAGUACAGGAGCACUAGUGAAUGAAGAAAGAAAGAAAGAAAUGCAAAGGAAACAAAAAUGGCUGCUCUUGGGUUUCGGCACC